GACGAACGCUGGCGGCGUGCUUAACACAUGCAAGUCGAACGGAGAAUUUUACUUCGGUGAAAUUCUUAGUGGCGAACGGGUGAGUAACGCGUAGACAACCUGCCUCUUAGAUGGGGACAACAUCGCGAAAGCGGUGCUAAUACCGAAUGAAGUGGAGCUUCCGCAUGGAAGCAUCACCAAAGGUGGCCUCUAUUUAUAAGCUACCACUGAGAGAUGGGUCUGCGUCUGAUUAGCUAGUUGGCGGGGUAAUGGCCCACCAAGGCGACGAGCAGUAGCCGGUCUGAGAGGAUGAACGGCCACAUUGGGACUGAGACACGGCCCAAACUCCUACGGGAGGCAGCAGUGGGGAAUCUUCCGCAAUGGACGAAAGUCUGACGGAGCAACGCCGCGUGAGUGAAGAAGGUUUUCGGAUCGUAAAGCUCUGUUGUUUGAGACGAAUGUGCAGACUUUGAAUAAGGGUUUGUAAUGACGGUAUUAAACGAGAAAGCCACGGCUAACUACGUGCCAGCCGCCGCAGUAA
rnacentral:rRNA from 1 species